UGCCAGCAGCCGCGGUAAUACGGAGGGGACAAGCGUUAUUCGGAAUUAUUGGGCGUAAAGGGUGCGCAGGCUGCGUGUUAAGUGAGAAGUGAAAGCCCACGGCUCAACCGUGGAACGGCCUCUGAUACUGAGUGGCUUGAGUGUGCUAGGGGUAAGCGGAACGUGUAGUGUAGCGGUGAAAUGCGUAGAUAUUACACGGAAGGCCGGAGGCGAAGGCGGCUUACUGGGGCACAACUGACGCUGAGGAACGAAAGCGUGGGGAGCAAACGGGAUUAGAUA
rnacentral:rRNA from 1 species